GUGCUUGUUUUGGCAGCACAUAUACUACAAAUUGGAACAAUACAGAGAAGAUUAGCAUUGUCCCUGUGCAAGGAUGACAUGCAAAUUCAUGAAGUGCUCCAUAUUAAA
rnacentral:snRNA from 1 species